AUUGAAGCAUUGCUUUGUCAUUUGAUGGGUGGAAGAUUUAAGGAGGCAAAACAUUUUGUUUGCUAAAAGUUUCAUAAGAAGAGGGCAUAAAUCCAGGAUUUCAUAUACAAAUAUUUGUAGUCCAAUUGCCAAUAGUCAAGGUAUGUGCAUAAUCCACCAUUCUUGCAAUUCCUUUUAAUUUUAAAAGCUACAUAACUCAAAGUUUGGCAAAUAAAUGCUUUUUAGAAACACUUUUCCUUAUGUUUUGUAAAGGUCUGAUUUUUAAAGAAAAGGCACAUAUUAUCUUAUGGAUUGUCAAUGUGGUUGUGGUUUUGUCUUGCAGGCUAUCUUUUCCACAAGACAAUCUCGUAGCCUUGACAUGCUUACUGCUCAAGGUUUUUCAAUUCACAGUCUACAAAACAUCAACAACUUCACACUGCAACUAUUGAAGACCUCACACUAAUACUCUUCCAUGUAUAGUGUUUAUAGCAAUGUUCAGUUUUUGCAAAUAUAAAACAUGAGCAACUCCCUGAAAAAUCUCUUGAACAGAUUCUACUUGUUAAUUUUUUUUAACUUUUGCAGCUCUGCUUAAUAUACUUUCUUUUAGUCCUUUA